rnacentral:rRNA from 1 species
UACGUAGGGUGCGAGCGUUAAUCGGAAUUACUGGGCGUAAAGCGUGCGCAGGCGGUUUUGUAAGCCAGGUGUGAAAUCCCCGGGCUCAACCUGGGAAUGGCAUUUGGGACUGCGGGGCUAGAGUGCAGAAGGGGCAACUGGAAUUCUCGGUGUAGCGGUGAAAUGCGUAGAUAUCGAGAGGAACACCUGCGGCGAAGGCGGGUUGCUGGGCUGACACUGACGCUGAUGCGCGAAAGCUAGGGGAGCGAACGGG